UUUUUUACAGUGUAGGUGCCCUUUAAACCAUCAGAUGAAAAGUGCUACAGUUGAUUGACUGCAUUUAAAGGGCGCUUUAAAGCCCCGCCUCUGGCUUGUGAUGACGCCCUGUCAAUCAAACUGUUAUUGUUGGUUGCUUCAAUUUGUUUGAUGGUCUAAUUCGACAACAAGGUAACGGACUAUCAUUAUUCACUCAUAUGGCCACAUAAUGAAUAAUCAUUAGACAUCAAGACAUUCCACUUGUACAUUAAUUAGUAUAUAUAUAUAUAUUUUUCUUUUUUAUUAAUUCAUCUUUGUGAGGUUUAUCAUAGAUGUGAUUUUUUUAUAUGAAUAUAUUGCAUGCCACACACACACACACACACACACACACACACACACAUACACAAUGUAUUGUCACGACCCGGCUCAAAGUCAAUGACAAAAUUAAAGGGAGGACAUACACCAGAUGGUUUGGUACCAAAAAGUAUUUAUUUAAACAUUAAAGAAUCAUCAAGUGCUCACUUUAGGUCAGCCAAAUCAAAUAUUAACCAAAGCUAAAAAGAAACAAAACAAAACAAACAAACGGGAGCAAAAGCACGGCUCCUCACAAGCCAACUCUGCUGGCUUUUAUAGAGGGGAACUCAGGUGUUCCCAAUUGAGCAGAUGAGUCUCUGUCUUUCCCGCUUUCGGCCGAUCAGUGGGUUGGUCAAAGAGACUCGUCACCCCCCCCUAAAAAGAAAAAGACAAAGUCUUUCAACAUAACAUCAAACCCCACAAUCCCCCUAAACCUCAGUAUGAAGGUCAAACUGGUUCUCCAUCCUCAGCCUUAGCUCACCAGCUCCUCCCAGCAACCAUGGUGCCUAGGAAGCAAUUUAAGAGAGAAAAACAUACCUUAAUACACAACCUUAAAUACGAGAUUAAGCACCAGCUCUAUUGUUUUGAGAGCCUUUAAUGUGGCAAAUAUCCAGCAGGUAACCCUGCAAGAACAACCACCACCUCAAAAUCGACCUCUGACUGGGGUUUUGUAGUGGAUGGAAAAAGCUAAGGAUUGUGGCCCGUGAAAUGCCCCAGACAUCCCAAAGAAGAUUCCACAUAAACUCCAAGGUGCUGCCAAAGUCAAUUUUCAACACGUUGUCAACCUCACCCUCAUAUUGCUUCUUCCUAUUUGUUAAAACUCUACAAUACAAUGAUAGCCUUCGAAUUGGAAUUGAAUCUCCCACAUCGACAUCAUGCUCCAUCAGAUUUGUGCAAAACAGAUUAUCAGAAAACAGAGCAACAUACUCAUGAAUCAAAUCAAUCAAGUCAGUGCAAUGUACAUGUGAUAAGUGACUAAGAUAAUUGAUCAAAGUACCACGUAUACAACCUGGAAGAACUAAAUCUCCAGCAUCCUCGUCCAACAACACUGAAGUUGGUAAACGCUCUGUAUUGGAUGAAUCCGAAAACUUAGCCUGAAAAGGUGAACAAAUUACAACAAACAGAGCAAGAACUCGAUCACCUGACUGAAAUGAACACUUCAGUAUGUCGACCAAAAAGUCGCCCCAUUCGAUCCCUUGCUUCCCUCCAAGAGCCCUUCGCCAGUUGACAUGCUUCAGACAUUGAGAUGAAAAUCAUUCACAUAUGAUAAACAUUUUUUGGUGGAUCAGUUUGUUUCCUGUCCAUUUGUGUGCAGUAUGACCUCAGCAUAGACCUCAAUGUUUGAUAAAUCUUUCCAGGGCUCCCUGGCUCUGAGGAUGAAAAGCACUGGAAAGAUUAUGUUGAACAUGGAGUGAUUUCAAAACUUCACCAAACUAGUUGAAGUAAAAUGACUCCCCUGAUUAGAUUGAAUAAUUCGGGGUAUUCUAAACACAAACAUGAACCGAGUCAAGGCUUUUACAUCUGCAGUAGUAGAACGCAAUGGGUAUGCAGCCGGAUACCUGGUCACCAGACACACAACUGCAGGCAAGCGCUCACCCUCUGCUUUCAACCUAGGCAAUGGCCCUACACAACCAAUCAAAAGAUGUUCAGAUGGUUGACGAAUAGCAGGAAUUGGUACAAAGGAGCAGGUUUAGCAGAUUGAUUUGGCUUUCCAGUUAACUGACACGUCUGACAUGUACUUAGAUAUGUCACUUUAUUUUUGGCCAAAAAAAAAAAAGUUUCAAAAGCAAUUGUUAUUUUUUCACUCCUAAAUGUCCAGACGCGUCAUGUGCAGUUUGCAGAACAACUUGGCGAAGAGACUGGGGUACUAUAACUUGAAACAUAGGAUCACCAAUCACAAACUCCCCAUGGGGCACCCACUUUCAACACGAUACACCACCAUUAAGACCAUGUCAUUAAGAACCACUCGAUCAAACAACUCAAUUGUUCCCAAUUGAGCAGACAGCCACAGAAGCCUGAGAGAAGCAGCAGAUGCCUUCACAAAAACAGACAUUCCUGCUGCGCAGACCAAGCUGGCUGCUCUAAAGCUGAUCAUCGCAGACCAGAAGCGAAGAAGUUGAGCUGAAUGGCCUCCUGGAGCCAUUUUGACCUGAGCAAUCAGAUCCCAUGGAGAGGGUGAAUCAAAGGCAGCAUAUGUGGAGUGGAGAGAACUGAGGGACAGGCAUGUAAGGAACAGUGAGGCUGAAGUGCAGGAGUGCCACCUAUGACCACCUAUUCAGUUUUUCCUUAACUGCAUGAUGCAUCAUCUGAUAGUUAAAGAUGUACUUCUCUGAUGAAGAGAUGGACCUUUCCCUGGAGGAAACAGUUGAAGUCAAACUCAAGACAUUGGAAACCUUUGCCGUCGAG